CGGACGGGUGAGUAACGCGUGGGCAACCUGCCUCAUACAGGGGGAUAGCAUCGGGAAACUGGUGGUAAAACCGCAUAAGCGCACGGAAACGCAUGUUUUAGUGUGAAAAGGAGAAAUCUGGUAUGAGAUGGACCCGCGUCUGAUUAGCUAGUUGGAGUGGUAAAAGCACACCAAGGCGACGAUCAGUAGCCGGCCUGAGAGGGUGGACGGCCACAUUGGGACUGAGACACGGCCCAGACUCCUACGGGAGGCAGCAG
rnacentral:rRNA from 1 species